rfam:Gossypium arboreum cultivar AKA8401 contig_85016_1, whole genome shotgun sequence.
CUCCGCAGUUAAGCGUGCUUGGGCGAGAGUAGUACUAGGAUGGGUGACCUCCUAGGAAGUCCUCGUGUUGCACCGC